rnacentral:rRNA from 1 species
UACGUAGGUGGCAAGCGUUGUCCGGAAUUACUGGGCGUAAAGCGUGCGCAGGCGGUUUUGUAAGUCAGAUGUGAAAUCCCCGGGCUUAACCUGGGAACUGCGUUUGAAACUACAAGGCUAGAGUGUGGCAGAGGGGGGUGGAAUUCCACGUGUAGCAGUGAAAUGCGUAGAGAUGUGGAGGAACACCGAUGGCGAAGGCAGCCCCCUGGGUUAACACUGACGCUCAGGCACGAAAGCGUGGGGAGCAAACAGG